CUGUUUUCUGGACAAAACAGCCAGCUCCUAUUCCAUCUGCUACAUUCAUCUUCAUCUUCUUCUUCUUUGCUCCCUGUGAUUUGGCGAUACUCCAUAACCUGAAAGUUUCUCCUUCCGAAUUCUUAGGCUCCGUGAGAAAAGUAGGUGAUGUUUUGCAAAACGUUACCUCCACUCUCAAAUCCGAGUUCAACAAUGUGAAGAGUGUGUUUCCUCUUUCUGAUGCCAUUUUCGCAUGUCUGGAGUUGUUGGACUUGUCAGCUGAUGAACUCAGCUGGUCUAUUUCCGCAGUUGAAAGUCCCCAAGGUAUCAUCUUUAUCUCAAGGUUCUAUAAAACCAAACAAAUUCUCCAUGAGUCUCUCAUAUAUAAUCUCAUUUAUGUUACUUAGAAUAAAAGGUAUACGUAUGUACAUAAUAUUUGUGGCAUGGCAGGGAAGCAUAACAGUACUGGGAAUCUGAGCUCUGAUUUGAGCACAUGGCUAAGUGCUGUACUUGCGAACACAGACACGUGCAUGGAAGGUUUUGAUGG
rnacentral:lncRNA from 1 species